rnacentral:tRNA from 1 species
GGGGUUGUAGCUCAGUGGUACAGCACUCGCCUCGCACGUGGAAGGCACUGAGUUCGAUCCUCAACACCA